rnacentral:rRNA from 1 species
UACAGAGGUCCCAAGCGUUGUUCGGAUUCAUUGGGCGUAAAGGGUGCGUAGGUGGCGCCGUAAGUCGGGUGUGAAAUUUCGGAGCUUAACUCCGAAACUGCAUUCGAUACUGCGGUGCUUGAGGACUGGAGAGGAGACUGGAAUUCAUGGUGUAGCAGUGAAAUGCGUAGAUAUGCGGAGGAACACCGAUGGCGAAGGCAAUCCCCUGGGCCUGCACUGACGCUCAUGCACGAAAGCGUGGGGAGCAAACAGG